ACCAAGGCAAUUUUUUUUUCGUGUGUGGGAUAGAAUUUUCACAUCAUUUAAACAGUUAUAUCAAUCAAAGGUGUUCUAUAUUUGAAUAUAAAUGGAAGAAGAACGGAAAUAUCAUGAAGAUUCUGAGCCUGAAGUAAUACUUAUUGAAUCUUCUGAA